rnacentral:tRNA from 1 species
GCUCUGGUGGCAAAAUGGUGUAGCGCUAGGAGGCUAACCUAAAUGCUGGUGGUUCAAACCCACCCAGCAGCU